UUCCGUUAAUUGAUUAUGACGUACUUGUACUGAUUGAGAUUUUAACACGAAGUGAGUGGCGAACGGGUGAGUAACACGUGGGUAACCUGCCCAGAAGUAGGGGAUAACACCUGGAAACAGAUGCUAAUACCGUAUAACAGAGAAAACCGCAUGGUUUUCUUUUAAAAGAUGGCUCUGCUAUCACUUCUGGAUGGACCCGCGGCGUAUUAGCUAGUUGGUGAGGUAAAGGCUCACCAAGGCAGUGAUACGUAGCCGACCUGAGAGGGUAAUCGGCCACAUUGGGACUGAGACACGGCCCAGACUCCUACGGGAGGCAGCAGUAGGGAAUCUUCCACAAUGGACGCAAGUCUGAUGGAGCAACGCCGCGUGAGUGAAGAAGGGUUUCGGCUCGUAAAGCUCUGUUGUUAAAGAAGAACGUGGGUAAGAGUAACUGUUUACCCAGUGACGGUAUUUAACCAGAAAGCCACGGCUAACUACGUGCCAGCAGCCGCGGUAAUACGUAGGUGGCAAGCGUUAUCCGGAUUUAUUGGGCGUAAAGCGAGCGCAGGCGGUCUUUUAAGUCUAAUGUGAAAGCCUUCGGCUCAACCGAAGAAGUGCAUUGGAAACUGGGAGACUUGAGUGCAGAAGAGGACAGUGGAACUCCAUGUGUAGCGGUGAAAUGCGUAGAUAUAUGGAAGAACACCAGUGGCGAAGGCGGCUGUCUGGUCUGCAACUGACGCUGAGGCUCGAAAGCAUGGGUAGCGAACAGGAUUAGAUACCCUGGUAGUCCAUGCCGUAAACGAUGAUUACUAAGUGUUGGAGGGUUUCCGCCCUUCAGUGCUGCAGCUAACGCAUUAAGUAAUCCGCCUGGGGAGUACGACCGCAAGGUUGAAACUCAAAAGAAUUGACGGGGGCCCGCACAAGCGGUGGAGCAUGUGGUUUAAUUCGAAGCUACGCGAAGAACCUUACCAGGUCUUGACAUCUUCUGACAGUCUAAGAGAUUAGAGGUUCCCUUCGGGGACAGAAUGACAGGUGGUGCAUGGUUGUCGUCAGCUCGUGUCGUGAGAUGUUGGGUUAAGUCCCGCAACGAGCGCAACCCUUAUUACUAGUUGCCAGCAUUAAGUUGGGCACUCUAGUGAGACUGCCGGUGACAAACCGGAGGAAGGUGGGGACGACGUCAAAUCAUCAUGCCCCUUAUGACCUGGGCUACACACGUGCUACAAUGGAUGGUACAACGAGUCGCGAGACCGCGAGGUUAAGCUAAUCUCUUAAAACCAUUCUCAGUUCGGACUGUAGGCUGCAACUCGCCUACACGAAGUCGGAAUCGCUAGUAAUCGCGGAUCAGCAUGCCGCGGUGAAUACGUUCCCGGGCCUUGUACACACCGCCCGUCACACCAUGAGAGUUUGUAACACCCAAAGCCGGUGGGGU
rnacentral:rRNA from 1 species